ensembl:lncRNA
CGAAGCUGUCAAGGUAAGAAACAUCUGCCUAGUUGAGGUGAUUGACACUGGCAAAGAGUCAGCAACAGCAAUCUCCUCUCCUUCUGGAGCCCUGGCAUGGAGGGAUGAUGAUGAGGGAUUGAACACAAGAAGCACCAUAUUCAGGAAAAUCAUCAAGUCGAGUUAAUUUGUGUUUCAACCCACAAUGACUUCUCCACAAUGGAGGAGAAGAGAUCAAUUUAGUCCCAGAUGUACAACGCCAUUUUCAAGACGGACAUUUCAAGAAAAGCGAGACAUCGAGAGAAGAGAUCGACACAGGUGGUAUUCCUUCGGGUGGGACUGUGGAGGACAUCCCUGAAGGCCUGGGGGUUUAAACAAAAGGGCUUUAAUGCAGACGGUUCAUAUAAGACGGAGGAUGUGCCUCGUCUACUCACUGCGGGGCCUGCUGGUCGAAUACGAGGCAGAUGGACAAAGGCGCAUUGAAGGGCUGAGCCUGCAGACUUCAUGGCACGCUGUUUGAUUAUUAUAUGACGUCUGAGUAGAGAAUAAACUCUAAAGAUAAACUUUGUUCAACGGUUCUUUACUCCAAUGUUCUAGGACUCGCUGUAAUAAUGUACUUUUGUCUUUUUUUCAAAAAAUGCAGUCCAGUGGUAUCCAAAGUAACCGGGUUUGAAGGACCACAUUCAAAACAUCCUUUCUUCUAUGGGUUAGGGACGGGGGUGACAUUGCCUCCGCAGGCCCUUAUUGUGCGCUUUGGAUGCACACACACUACUUGUUAAUAGUCUUCUAUGGGUCUCAAUGGUGGGGAGCAAAAUACAUUUCUUCCAAAACGUAUAACCUCAGUACCCUUUAGAGUCGCAUGAGGAGGUCUGAAUGUUCCCAUUGUUAUGAUAAUUGAAUCUGAUUCAAAAGGCUACUGUAUUAUGUUAGUGUAACCAAUGAGAGAAAAG